CCCAUCAUAUACUAUCGUCCAUAACCCUAACCUAGUCGAUUCAUUACCAGCAACAGUAGCCCCAUCCUCCUCGUUGGUCGUCGUCGCCGCCUCACAGCCUCGCCCCUGACCCCGCCCGGCGCCAGAUGCAUACGACCAGGAGGUCAGCGCCCCCGCCUAGCACUAGCCGCAUCCAGCCUGGUGGUUAGCACCUCACCUCACUCUAGCCUCCAGCCUGCACCUACAAGGGCCCCACAGGCAGCGCCCCUGCCUGGUAGCCAGCCACAGUCGGCUAGGCGGUCAACGCCCUUGCCCGCCGCCCAUGCCACACACCGGCAUCCGGCCAGCCACUGCUUCACUGUGCUCCAGUAGAUGGUGUGACGCCCCCAUCCCUCGCUCUCGCUCUUCCUGGCUCUGAUCUGAUCCACCUUCUGCGUUAGGCUCGAUUGCUUACCGGCAAUGGUGCAGUCCAUCGUCUCCAUCGACAAGAUUUGUGCCAUGCUUGAGUGUUAUCCUUAUACCGGUACUCCACAUGAAGGUGAACAUCGUGCUGCUAUGUAAACCUUGGUUAAAAAUUAUCCAAUAUUUUUAUAAAUUGAAAUAAUAUUAACUGUGCAGUCUUAGUAGGGGCUUCUAAACAUAAAGCAUUAAUAAUAUGUAGAAUCACAUAUGACUGAACAAGCGAUCUGAGGUGCUGAUCACAAUAAUAGGGUUUAGAUUGUAAGUGGUUUCCCAUGCCUAACUUGUUUACUACAAUUAUUAUAAUACCAUCUACUUUUCUCUUGCUAGCUGGCUAUAUACAAGCCUGCAACACAUUCUUAUGACACUAGCAGAGUAGCAGGUCAUUAAAUUAGAUAUCUAUACUAGAGUCGAAAAUCCAUUCAAAUUUUAAAUUAUAUACUUUUAUGUAUGGAUGGUGUUUAGAGUGCAAACAUGCAUGUUUAUGUUCCACAGAAUCAUUUUACCUGACAUAGCAUGUUGAAAUUCCUAUACUUUCAUGUUGCAGUAAUCUAUUAAGGCAUUGAUUUCCUUCAGUUGUGUGUUUCCAUUCUCUGCCACUAGUUUUAGAGAAGUACACUAAUAUGUUUAAAGUUCUAAUGGUUACCUAGACUAGGCCAAGCAGAGUAUACAUAUUGUAGUUCUACUGCAUUGAAUAGCAAAUUCUUGUAUUUGAUGACAUAUUUUCUUUCUUGUUUCCAUCUAUAACAUAUUUAUGAUUCAUUCUCAUUUUCUUUUGCAGGUUCAUGGAGCAUGAUUACCACAUUGGCUAGUGGCACAACAUGCCUACGUAUCUAAUAUUUAAUGGUGCAAUUACUAUGCUCGUGUUCUCUCAUUGCUAUGUUUGUCAUCAUCUGUAGGAGGUUGUCUUAGGUCACUGGAAUCAACAUGGGAAACCUGUUGUGCAGAAUGUUUUGUAGUAUGUUUUUCAUAAGGUUCCUCUUCAUACUACAUGCUUUUCUUUCUGAUUUCAAAAAUGCAUUACACAAAUAAAAUUACCAUUUAUAUGUCUGUAUCUAAUAUUUAAGGCAUAAGAAAAAUUAGCAUAGGCAAAGAAAUGGGUCAAACCUCAUGUUGAGACUACUAAGAUGGUAAUACCCAUUUGUUCAUGUAGUUCAAUUUAUUAUGUUUUAUCUUGGGCUUAUAGUUGGCUAACAUUAUUACUUUCUAUGAUUGAAGAAGUGGAUUCUUGUUAAGCAGAAAUUGGUUGUCCUCAAGAAAAUGUAGAAUCUCAUGUACAAAAGGUAUCAACAAGAUGUUAAUAAAUUGAACCUCAUAUUGAGACUGCUAAGAUGGUAAUGUCCAUUUGUUCAUGUACUUUAAUAUCUUUUGUUUUAUUUUGGGCUUAUAGUUGGUUGACACUGUUACUUAUGAUUGAAGAAAUGGAUUUCUAUUAAGGAGAAAUUGGUUGUCCUCAAGGAAAAUGCAGGACCUUACGUACAAAUUGGUUGUCUUCAAAAUGUUGGUCUUGUAGCUGCAAGCCUGCAACAAAGAGAAUAAACAAUUGUGGUGAUGCUACACAUGUAGAAGUAGCAAUGUUGGUCUUGUAACUCCCAAGAUUUGGUUAUUGAUGAAUGAUAUCUAUGAUAAUAUAUUGCUAAGUGUAUGUGAUGAUCAUUUAUUGUUGUUUAA